GUGUGAUGGGGUGAGGGCAAUGUGUGUGUGGCAUAGAUAAGGUUGGUGAGUGACUGUGAGUGUGAGAGUUGGGGAUGGUGAGUGACUGUGGGACAGGUGUGAGUGUGACAAGGUGAGAUUGACAGUAUGUGGGGAGGCUGUGCUAAGCACAUGAUCCCCACAUUUAGUUGUAAGAAGGGAUGGCAUAAUUCAUCCAAUGUGGCCACUGGUGGCCUGGUGGGCUCCCUGGUAGUACAAUGAGAUGCUGGUGCAGCCGCUAUUCUCCUGGUACAGCGCUCUGUGAUGACAGGCUGUGAAAGAACACAGGCUGUGAAACCCAGCACCUGCGUUCUGACUCCCUCAUAGAGGUCCAAAACUUUGAACCACCAUGGAGUUAAUAUCCAAGAAGCCGGCAGGAAGGUCUUUUGAAAUCCCUGCCAAUUUGAGGAGGGGGGUUCAAUCAGAGCCGGUGAGUAUAUGCAUCCCCUCCAGGUGAUGCCUGGGGCACAUGCACACACAACCCCCCUAGUUUCUUCACAACAUGGAUGGACAGAGGAAGAGGCAAAUAGAAAGGGGGCAUGGAAGGAGGAUAGGAUAUAUAAACACCCCUGCAUAGAGCCACGCCACAGAAAUGAACCUUUACAAUCACACAUAUAUAUGAAAAUCCAGUAUCUAGAUAGCACUUCAGACC